AAAACCCUGCCCUCCUCCUGCUCAUACUAUGUUCCUGCAAGGAGGCCAUGCCUUAGCCUGCUGGCCUUGACCAUCUCAGAGUUGAAGAGUCUCAUGGGUCAGUUCAACAGAUAUCAUCUACGAGAAUGAAGAAGGGUUGCUGAGUAGGGGCUCCAGUGUAAAGAAUAUCCAUUCUUCAAGCAUAGAUUCCAAGCCUCCCAUGAAUUCUAUACCACAAAUUCUCUCAAUAAAGCAGUUUUCUGCUUAAUUGUAG
rnacentral:lncRNA from 1 species